rnacentral:rRNA from 1 species
GACCUGGCCGGGCGGUCUGCCUCACGGUAUGUACUGUCUGGCUGGGCCUUACCUCUUGGUGAGCUGGCAUGCCCUUCACUGGGUGUGUCAGUGAACCAGGACUUUUACUUUGAAAAAAUUAGAGUGUUCAAAGCAGGCAUUUUCGCUUGAAUACAUUAGCAUGGAAUAAUGGAAUAGGAC